UCAGAUGGGGUAUGAACGUCAACAAAGCGCAACUGACCUACGUACAUACGGUGCCAGACUUUAAUAAGAUGUUGGCGGAUCCUACUAAAAAAAUCAAAGGAUGUUUUUCUUUCCACGCCUGAGGUGGCUGCCAUUUGCUGGGAAUCUUCAAAGGAGUUUGUACCGCAGGAUGCCUCGACCAACAUUUUUCUAGCAACUUUUACGACAGCUUGGGCUCGUCUCAAGCUGUAUAGUGAAAUGGAGAAGCUGGGUCGAGAUGUCCUGUAUCACGACACAGAUUCGAAUGGUUGCAACGAUCCCCCCUUAGGAAACUUCUUAGGAGAAUUUACCGACGAACUGGAUGGAGAUGUUAUCAAAACCUUCGUGUCAGGAGGACCGAAAAACUACGCAUACCAGACGGCCACUGGGAAAACCUGCUGCAAAGUCCGAGGAUUUUCAUUGAACUUCCGGAAUUCCCAGUUGCUGAAUUUUGAAGCCAUUAAAAGUCUGGUCUGCAGCCUCGACCGAAGUGAGAUCAUCUCUCUCCACAACCCCUGCAAAAUCACCCGAGAAGCGAAGAGAAGAAAGGUGGUGAAUAAA